GUACACGCUGUGACUAGCAUAUCAAUAAGCGGAGGAAAAGAAACUAACUAGGAUUCCCCUUAGUAAUGAGCGAGUGAAGCGGGAAGAGCUCAAAUUUGAAAUCUUAAAGGGUUUCCCUUUACGAAUUGUAGUUUAAAGAAGUGUUUUCUGUUGAGGUUUUGGUAAAAGUUCUUUGGAAUAGGACAUCAUAGAGGGUGAGAAUCCCGUAUUUGACCUUUACUUUCAACUUUGUGAUACACUUUCAAAGAGUCGGAUUGUUUGGGAAUGCAGUCCAAAAUGGGUGGUAAAUUUCAUCUAAAGCUAAAUAUUGGCGAGAGACCGAUAGCGAACAAGUACCGUGAGGGAAAGAUGAAAAGAACUUUGAAAAGAGAGUUAAACAGUACGUGAAAUUGUCAAAAGGGAAGCGUUUGACACCAGUGUUGUUUUUCUGAAAAUCAAUUAAAGAACUGUUUAUGCUAAGCUUGUUUAGACUUUAUCAGCUAUCUGUUUAGUUUUGAGCUUUUCUUUAAUGCACUUUUCAGUUAACAAGUCAACAUCAAUUUCUUUUGCUGUGAAAAAGCUUGAGGAAGGUGGCUUGAGAUUCGUCUUAAGUGUUUAUAGCCUCUUGCCUAUGCAGUCGGAGAGAUUGAGGUCUGCAGCGUAGAUCCUUCGGGGCUAAAUGCAUUUGUGCUAAGUUAUAGCAUUUUAUAGACAACUUGUUGACUAUGAUUUGUCUUGUAGCUUACUCGCUUAUGUUAUUUUACCUACGCUUAGGAUGUUGAUAUGCAUGACUGAUAU
rnacentral:rRNA from 1 species